UGUUUGACAUCUUUUGAAUGAGAAAUUUUGAAACCAUUCGUUGAUUCUAAUGUCAUAAGAGGAUCUUGCGUUAUGUGCUUUUGUGGUUUCUACAAAGGAAUCCAGGGUAAGCCUCGCCGCGCCUCGGUUAGCACAAAGAAGCUCCCACCUGAGUAAAUCUUUAUCGCAGUCUGGACGCACACUUCUACAUGUCAUGAAUUUAGUGACGCACAGACCUUAAGUAACGUGAAGAUGAUUUGCUAACAUGAAGACUGCAUACGACAAGAAAAAUUCAAGAAAGCAGUGCAGUGUGAGAAGUCAGGCAACAACAUUGAUCUAUAAGAA